GAGUCAUGUAGGCAAGGCGAGGAGGAGGGAGCUCGGAAAAUAGUAGUCGUUUAGGACAGACACCUGUUGUAGGCCGAUGGGCUGAUCUGAUUUUCAAUCAGAGGGAAAACUAUCAACUUGAUUUUCGUUCCGAUUGCGCUCUAAUAUAACUAGGAAUUUUCUAGACUGGUACGCUGCCUCAUCUUUAGACCCAAGAAUAGUUGAAGUCUGGUACAGUGGAUCUCAAAUUUCAAUUUAUUAGAAUUAUCCACGCUUUUGAAUAAAUACCCCGAGUAUCUCUCUACUCUUUACAUAAGAUUGAUUGAUUGAUAUGAAUAGUAGACAAUAUUUUAUAUUUUUAAGGAAUAAACUGAAAACCAAUGUAAUACACAAACUCAUUAACUAUUAAUACAAACUCAGACUAAAUAAUAUUAUGAAUAUGAGAAUUACGUGAGCUAACCAGUAGGCCUAUUUGUUAUAAUUUGUAAAAAAGGAGUUGCUCCCUUGCUAAAGAUUAUAUUUCUCUGUAAAUAAAAUACUACAAUCAAUAGUAGGUAAUAAUAAUAAUUCUUUUCAAUUUAUCAUAAUAUCAUGAAUUUAACAUACAUUCGUUAAAUAUUGAAAUUUUCAUGGAUUUUUGCAAUUAAAUAAUGCACUAGAUGGACGAUACAUGAGUAAAUAAAACAUAUUAUUUUCUUA